rnacentral:rRNA from 1 species
GACGAACGCUGGCGGCGUGCUUAACACAUGCAAGUCGAACGGACAGGCCCUGCUCUUGCUGCUUGCACGAGUGGCGAACGGGUGUGUAAAACACGUGUAUCAUCCCCUUAUCUUUGGGAUAACUUCACGGAAAUGGGGAUCAUACCCGGUAGGAGCUCCUGCUGCAUAUUGGGCGUUAGAGAAUUUCGGCGGUUGGGGAUGGACUCGAUGCUUAUCAGCUGGAUGGUCGGGUAGGUGCUUCCCAAGGCUAUGACGGGUAGCCGGCAUGAGAGGGUGAACGGGCACAAUGGGACUAAGAGAGGGCCCAGAAGCCUACGGGACGCAGUAGUGGGGAACAUUGCGGAAUGGGCGCAAGCCAGUUGCGGCAACGCCCGGAGCGGGAUAAUGGCCUACGGGUUGUAAACCUCUUUCGCAGUUGAUGAAGAGUGAGUGACGGUAAUGGGUAAGGAAGCACCGGCUAACUACGUG